UCCUACGGGGGGCAGCAGUAGGGAAUCUUCCACAAUGGACGAAAGUCUGAUGGAGCAACGCCGCGUGAGUGAAGAAGUAUUUCGGUAUGUAAACCUCUAUCAGCAGGGAAGAAAAUGACGGUACCUGACUAAGAAGCCCCGGCUAACUACGUGCCAGCAGCCGCGGUAAUACGUAGGGGGCAAGCGUUAUCCGGAUUUACUGGGUGUAAAGGGAGCGUAGGCGGCAGUGCAAGUCAGAAGUGAAAGCCCGGGGCUCAACUCCGGGACUGCUUUUGAAACUGUACAGCUUGAUUGCAGGAGAGGCA
rnacentral:rRNA from 1 species